CUACGGGCGGCUCCAGUGAGGAAUUUUGCGCAAUGGGGGAAACCCUGACGCAGCAACGCCGCGUGAGCGAAGAAGGCCUUCGGGUCGUAAAGCUCUGUCAAGUGGGAAAAAAAUUCUUUGAUGAACAGUCAAAGGACUUGAUGGUACCACUGGAGGAAGCACCGGCUAACUCCGUGCCAGCAGCCGCGGUAAUACGGAGGGUGCAAGCGUUGGUCGGAAUUACUGGGCGUAAAGAGCGUGUAGGCGGUUUGACAAGUCAGAUGUGAAAGCCCCGGGCUCAACCCGGGAAGUGCAUUUGAAACUGUAUCACUAGAGUAUGGGAGAGGAGAUUGGAAUUCCUGGUGUAGAGGUGAAAUUCGUAGAUAUCAGGAGGAACACCCGUGGCGAAGGCGAUUCUCUGGACCAAUACUGACGCUGAGACGCGAAAGCGUGGGGAGCAAACAGGAUUAGAUACCCUGGUAGUC
rnacentral:rRNA from 1 species